GAGUGAUGAAGGCCUUCGGGUUGUAAAGCUCUGUCUUUGGGGACGAUAAUGACGGUACCCAAGGAGGAAGCCACGGCUAACUACGUGCCAGCAGCCGCGGUAAUACGUAGGUGGCAAGCGUUGUCCGGAUUUACUGGGCGUAAAGGAUGCGUAGGUGGAUAUGCAAGUCAGAUGUGAAAUACCCGGGCUCAACUCGGGUGCUGCAUUUGAAACUAUAUAUCUAGAGUGCAGGAGAGGUAAGUGGAAUUCCUAGUGUAGCGGUGAAAUGCGUAGAGAUUAGGAAGAACACCAGUGGCGAAGGCGACUUACUGGACUGUAACUGACACUGAGGCAUGAAAGCGUGGGGAGCAAACAGGAUUAGAUACCCUGGUAGUCCACGCCGUAAACGAUGGGUACUAGGUGUAGGGGGUAUCGACUCCCUCUGUGCCGCAGUUAACACAAUAAGUACCCCGCCUGGGGAGUACGGUCGCAAGAUUAAAACUCAAAGG
rnacentral:rRNA from 1 species